GGCCAGUGUGGUGUAGUGGUUUGAGUGUUGGACUUCCACUCUGGAGACCGAGGUUCAAUUCCCAGCUUGGCCA